GAUGAACGCUGGCGGCGUGCCUAAUACAUGCAAGUCGAGCGAACAGACGAGUAGCUUGCUCCUCUGACGUUAGCGGCGGACGGGUGAGUAACACGUGGAUAACCUACCUAUAAGACUGGAAUAACUUCGGGAAACCGGAGCUAAUACCGGAUAAUAUAUUGAACCGCAUGGUUCAAUAGUGAAAGACGGUUUUGCUGUCACUUAUAGAUGGAUCCGCGCCGCAUUAGCUAGUUGGUAAGGUAACGGCUUACCAAGGCAACGAUGCGUAGCCGACCUGAGAGGGUGAUCGGCCACACUGGAACUGAGACACGGUCCAGACUCCUACGGGAGGCAGCAGUAGGGAAUCUUCCGCAAUGGGCGAAAGCCUGACGGAGCAACGCCGCGUGAGUGAUGAAGGUCUUCGGAUCGUAAAACUCUGUUAUUAGGGAAGAACAAAUGUGUAAGUAACUAUGCACGUCUUGACGGUACCUAAUCAGAAAGCCACGGCUAACUACGUG
rnacentral:rRNA from 1 species